rnacentral:rRNA from 1 species
AAUCAAGCGCGAAAGGGCAUCUAGUGGAUGCCUUGGCAUUGAGAGGCGAUGAAGGACGUAGUACGCUGCGAUAAGCUGUGGGAAGGUGCGAACACCCUGAGAUCCACAGAUUUCCGAAUUGGGAAACCAACCGCAUGUGCGGUAUCAUAAACUGAAUAAAUAGGUUUAUGAGGCGAACCUGGGGAACUGAAACAUCUAAGUACCCAGAGGAAAGGACAUCAACAGAGACUCUGCUAGUAGUGGUGAGCGAAAGCGGAUCAGGCCAGUCGUCAUACAAAAGAUAGUGGAAAAGAGCUGGGAAGCUCUGCGAAACAAGGUGAUAGCCCUGUACACGGUUAUCCUAGUAUGAUGCAUGAGUAAGACGGGACGCGUGAAAUCCUGUUUGAACAUGGGGGGACCACCCUCCAAGCCUAAGUACUCCUCAAUGACCGAUAGUGAACAAGUACAGUGAUGGAAAGGUGAAAAGUACCCCGAGAAGGGGGGUGAAAUAGACCUGAAACUGGAUGCUUACAAUCAGUUGGAGCGGUAAUUCAUUAGAAUACCGUGACAGCGUACCUUUUGCAUAAUGAGUCAGCGAGUUCGUGUCCGUAGCAAGCUUAGCCGUUAGGUGUAGGCACAGGGAAACCGAGUCUUAAUAGGGCGUACGUUACUGGCAUGAGACCCGAAACCGGGUGAUCUAACUAUGAGUAGGCUGAAGGUGAGGUAACACUUAACGGA